CUUUAUUUUACAAAAAAACAAAUCUCGAAACAGCAAGGUAAUAGUUUGAUAUACGUGAAAUUUUUCAUCGCGAACGUCUAACAUUAUCAAAAGCAAAUUUUAAAGAAAGUAUGAAAGAAAUUCACUUAAUUGCGCGUGUGUGCGCGUGUGAAAGUAAUUAAGUGCCACAGAAGACAAUCCGGACAAUAUUUCUGUGGACUUUUGGUGAUGCUGAUGGCGGAGUUUGCAGUACCGGAGGAGCCGGUUCGGGCAAUAAAAUGCUGGCACGAAGAAUGGUGUCGUCGCAGUAAGUGGCCAGCGCAUGAUGGCGGUGUUCCUGAUGGCGGUGUUCCUGAUGGCGGUGUUUGCAGUACCGGAGGAGCCGGUUCGGGCAAUAAAAUGCUGGCACGAAGAGUGGUGUCAUUGCAGUAAGUGGCCAGCACACGUGAGUAACCUUUUAGGGUAGGUGAUGGUUUUUUAAAAAUCAGUGCGAUACCUAGUUUUUCCUUGUUUAUUUCGAAGGGUCGAGAAAAAAUAAUUAUUUUACAUAUAAAAAUAUAGUUUUCGGGCUGUAAU